GGCGUCAUAGCUCAGUUGGGAGAGCAGCAGACUGAAGUCAAGAACAUCUGAAGGUCCCGUGUUCAAGCCACGGUGAUGCCA